rnacentral:rRNA from 1 species
AUACGUAGGGUGCGAGCGUUAACCGGAAUUACUGGGCGUAAAGCGCUCGCAGGCGGUUUGACGCGUCGGAUGUGAAAUUCCCGGGCUCAACCCCGGGCGUGCGGGCGAUACGGGCAUUGCUCGAGUACAGCAGGGGCGCGUGAAAUUCCAGGUGUAGCGGUGAAAUGCGCAGAUAUCAGGAGGAACACCGGUGGCGAAGGCAGGUCUCUGGGCUGAAACUGACGCUCAGGAACGAAAGCGUGGGGAGCAAACAGGAUUAGAUACCCUGGUAGUCCAUGCCGUAAACGAUGGGCGCUAGGUGUUGGGGUCGUCGACGACUUCUGUACCGUAGCUAACGCGUUAAGCGGGCCGCCUGGGGAGUACGGCCUCAAGACUAAAACUCAAAGGAAUUGACGGGG